rnacentral:lncRNA from 1 species
ACCGAAAAUGUCAGACAAUUCGGAGUUCGACAACCCUCCAACGUUCUUCAACACAUCGUAGGCUUCCGAAAUCAACUGCAUAUCGCCGUAUUCAAUCCCAUUGUGCACCAUUUUCACGAAAUUCCCCGAACCCCCUUCGCCAAUAUAGGUAACGCAGGGACCAUCAUCGACCUGAGCAGCCACUUUCUUCACAAUAUCCUCGAUGUUCUGAUACGCCUGAUAAGAUCCACCGGGCAUCAACGACGGGCCGUGGCGCGCACCCUCUUCGCCACCGGAGACGCCCAUGCCCAGAUACAGAAUGCCCUUGCCAGAAGCUUCCACAAUCCGGCGCUCGGUGUUCUCGUACCACUCGUUUCCACCGUCAAUAAUACAAUCCCCGGCCUCCAUGUGCUCAGACAAAGCAGCAAUGGUUUGGUCGACGGGAGCGCCGGCCUUGACGAGGAUAACAAUGGAUCUAGGCCGUUGGAUGGAGAGCACGAAGUCACGAGGCGAGUAGUGGCCACUGAGAGGUAGAUGGCCUUCGCGGUGCGCCCGAUCUAGCGUUUCAUCCACCUUGGAGGUCGUCCGAUUAUAAACGGAGAUCGGAAACCCUUUUUCGGCGAUGUUGAGAGCUAGGUUUUGGCCCAUGACGGCCAGGCCGGCGAGGCCGAUUCGUGAG